rnacentral:rRNA from 1 species
UACGGGGGGGGCAAGCGUUGUUCGGAAUUACUGGGCGUAAAGGGCUCGUAGGCGGCCAACUAAGUCAGACGUGAAAUCCCUCGGCUUAACCGGGGAACUGCGUCUGAUACUGGAUGGCUUGAGAUUGGGAGAGGGAUGCGGAAUUCCAGGUGUAGCGGUGAAAUGCGUAGAUAUCACUUGGAACGCCAAUGGUGAAGACAGCUCGCUGGGGGUGUCCUGACGCUGAGGCGCGAAAGCCAGGGGAGCGAACGGG